rnacentral:rRNA from 1 species
UACGUAGGAGACGAGCGUUGUCCGGAGUUACUGGGCGUAAAGGGUGCGCAGGUGGCGGCGCGCGUGGGGGGUGAAAUCGCCCGGCUUAACUGGGCGGGGGCCUUCCAGACGGCGUGGCUUGAGCAGCGGAGGGGGACGUGGAAUUCCGGGUGGAGCGGUGAAAUGCGUAGAUAUCGUCUGGAACGCCAAAGGUGAAGACAGUCUGCUGGGGACUUGCUGACGCUGAGACACGAAAGCCAGGGGAGCGAACGGG